CUCAGGAUACUCUCCCCACAGCACCGCCCUAUAUAAACCUCACCCCAGUUAGUCUUCCUCUCUCUCACCAUUGUUGGAGGUAGCAGGGCAGCUCCUUCCCCAAUAAAGCCUUGCUUGGGGUGCUCCUGUUUCGACCUGUUUUCUUUCAAGAGCAUAUCAACUUUAGUUGAUAAAAUUUCUCCACAUGGUGGUACAGGUACUCUUAUGAAGUUGAAUUUUAAAUCUUUGAAAACUCGCUGAAUAAAAGCAGAAGAAAAAGCUUG
rnacentral:lncRNA from 1 species